GGAUGGGUGGCUGAGCGGUCUAAAGCAACAGUCUUGAAAACUGUCGUCCCUUUACGGGGACCGUGAGUUCGAAUCUCACCCCAUCCG
rnacentral:tRNA from 1 species